GGGCCCAUAGCUCAACGGAUAGAGCAUCGGACUUCUAAUCCGAUGGCUGGGAGUUCGAGUCUCCCUGGGCCCGCCA
rnacentral:tRNA from 1 species